AUUGAACGCUGGCGGCAGGCCUAACACAUGCAAGUCGGGCGAGCGGCGGACGGGUGAGUAAUGUAUGGGGAUCUGCCUGAUGGAGGGGGAUAACUACUGGAAACGGUAGCUAAUACCGCAUACCAUCAGAUGAACCCAUAUGGGAUUAGCUAGUAGGUGAGGUAACGGCUUACCUAGGCGACGAUCCCUAGCUGGUCUGAGAGGAUGAUUGGCACCGAUGGGAGUGAGAUACGGCCCAGACUCCUACGGGAGGGAGCAGUGGGGGAUAGUGCACAAUGGGGGAGAGCCUGAUGCAGCGACGCGGCGGGGGGGAUGAAGGCUUUCGGGUUGUAAACCUCUUACGAUAUCGAACGGGUAGGUGGAGAAGAAGCGCCGGCUAACUACGUGCCAGCAGCCGCGGUAAUUC
rnacentral:rRNA from 1 species